CUGAACAACCCACCACUAAAUCUUAGAUUAUAGUGGGGGCUUGAAAAACAAGUCCAUAGUUGACCCGCCUAAGUUUUAAUUAACUACGUUAUCUCGGUCAAGAUACCAAAGAAUACUUCACCAGUUCUUUGCAAAGAUCGUCAGUCAUUAAACAUCCGAGUUGGGUUUAGGAAGUGUGGCUGGCAUAACAAGUCGAAAUAACAUUGGCUUUUCGCAACAAAU
rfam:Crinalium epipsammum PCC 9333, complete genome.